rnacentral:tRNA from 1 species
UUAGCUCAGCGGUAGAGCAACGGUUUCGUAAACCGUAGGCCGGCGGUUCAAAUCCGCCCAUCGGCUCCGCCA